UACGUAGGGGGCAAGCGUUGUCCGGAUUUAUUGGGCGUAAAGAGCGUGUAGGCGGCUUUACAGGUCCGUUGUGAAAACUCGAGGCUCAACCUCGAGACGCCGGUGGAAACCGUAAAGCUAGAGUCCGGAAGAGGAGAGUGGAAUUCCUGGUGUAGCGGUGAAACGCGCAGAUAUCAGGAAGAACACCCGUGGCGAAGGCAGCUCGCUGGGACGGUACUGACGCUGAGACGCGAAAGCGUGGGGAGCAAACAGG
rnacentral:rRNA from 1 species